rnacentral:tRNA from 1 species
UAAAGAAAGUGACAGAGCGGUUAUGUGGCUGGCUUGAAACCAGCUCAUGGGGGUUCGACUCCUCCCUUUCUCGUUAG